rnacentral:lncRNA from 1 species
CAAAUAAUAGGUAUAAUGGGUUACCUCAGGAGCAGGAACGCCAUAAAAAAUAUACGCAUGGGUCACCUCAGGAGCAGGGACGCCACAAACAAUUGACAAAAUGGGUUACCUCAGGAGCAGGAACGCCAUCAAAUGAUAAGACAGUAACUUAGAGACUGCUAUAAACAAAAUCAAAUUCUGUUUAAGAUUAUUCAAGUUUUUCAUACUUCAUAUAUUUUUGCAACAUUUUGUUUAAACACUUUGCAUAUAUUUCUAAUUACAUUUCAUCAA